UACGGAGGGUGCAAGCGUUAUCCGGAUUCACUGGGUUUAAAGGGUGCGUAGGUGGGCUAGUAAGUCCGUGGUGAAAUCUCCGAGCUUAACUUGGAAACUGCCGUGGAUACUAUUAGUCUUGAAUAUUGUGGCGGUAAGCGGAAUAUGUCAUGUAGCGGUGAAAUGCUUAGAUAUGACAUAGAACACCGAUAGCGAAGGCAGCUUGCUACACAAUCAUUGACACUGAGGCACGAAAGCGUGGGGAUCAAACAGG
rnacentral:rRNA from 1 species